GCCCGGUCCUCCUCCUCGGGACGCUGCCUCCUGGCGACCCGGGGCGCUCGGGCUCUGCGCACCAGGGCGGCCCCUCUGGUCAAGCUCUCUUCUCCUCCCGGGGCGGGAGAGGCGCCUUCAACUCCCGGAAGCAGAGGUGUCUAUGGAGACCAUCAACGUUCUGAGCCUCGGUUUCCUCUCCUGUUGUUUCCGGAAUGGCAGAGCUGACCACGUUGGAGUGUCCUGAGAAAUGAGAUUAACUAGGUCACCAAGAUGCUGGCUGUGGUGGUGGUCCUCUUCGCUCCGCUGUGGCUGCCCUACCACACCCCGGUGGUGGCAAACUCCUGCCUGAGCCCGCCCUGCCUCAGCCUGGGCUUCCUGCUCUUCUGCCGCCUCUGCACCUACGUGAACAGCACCGUCAACCCCAUUGUCUACACCCUCAUGUCCCAGCGCUUCCAGGACGCCUUCCAUGGGCCAUUUCAGUGCCUGCUGGCUCAGCCCGAGCUCCCGCCCCAGGAGGCCACCCCUGUUUACUACAGUGUCAUCAAAGACUGUUCCCAACACAGACUGGGCUCUUAGAAGAAACCGGGGGGCAUGAUGUCCAGACACGGAAGGGAUCCUGGCGCCUCAGAGCAAGGCCCAUCACCUUAUUCCUACUGAGGCAAAAGGGUCUCUGUGCACUUGGGGAACACAUGGCUAUUGGAGGAGAGAGUGGUGUCCAGGGCUGUUUGGUAAAGGUGGGCAGGUUGUGCACUGCACAACCCGAGGGGUCACCGUUCACCUGACAGGCGGCCUUGAUUUGUAUAUUUAUUAAAACAACUUCCCAGUUUAAUAAAUAUACGAAUCUAAGAGGGAAGCACACCUUUUUAUAAUUUACACAAAAAUACUCUAUGGCCUAAUAGCAGCCUGGGCAGGUGAACAUCAGCAGAGAUUGGGUAGGGUGGGAGGAGUUGCCAGGGGUCUCCUGGGAACUGAGGGAACCUCUUCCUAAAAUUCAGCGGGUCUUUUUUUUGCCAGGAUAAGCACCAAGUGCUGCCGCCCUCUGAAUGGUGACACAUGGCUUUCUUGACGCCCUGCUACAUCUGGGGUAGCCUGCUGGCCAUUUCGAACACUACAGAAUGAUGCCAACAGGGUCUCUGCUCUUGGUAGCCCCCAGUCUAACAGGGGAAGGAGGCAGGACACGUCCAGCCUGGUGCUGGAAUCCUGGCAACCAGCCUGAGGAGGCAGCCAGGUGGGAGCGUGGGGGCACCAGCCUUGCCUCAACUAGGCCGGAGCCCUCUGGUCCUCUGUCCUGUGUCCUCUGUCCUGUGUCCAGGCUUCUACGACUCCCCAACUUGAUAGUGUGCAGAAGGAGGAGAGUGAAAGGCUAGUGGAAGCAGCCUCACUUACAGGCAGGAUCUCCAUGUUUUAAUUUAGGGGAACCUGGGACAUUCCCUCCCCCCAGACAAUCUACUUCCGGUUUCUCCGUGGAUGCCACCACCUCUCUCUUGGUGCAUUUGAAGCUGUUGAGCAUUGCCUUUCCCAAAUGUGCACAUCUCCCUGGGAGACGGAGUUAACUGAGUCCCUGAAGCUUCAGUGUGGAGGAUGAAGUUCUUGAAAGCUUUUCCCCUAAAAAGAAGGAUUUAGGGUACCAGGGGAUCCAGGACAAAGAAGGCGGCAUUGAUUGGGGGAAGAGGAGGCAGAAAGGGAAAUUAGAGUAGGGCGGAGAAGGGGUUUGCUCCGUGGCCUUGUCUGAAGUAGGACGUUGGCAAAGCAUUGCUCUGCGUGGUGGGGCUCUCUGGGGUCUCCACUUGUCGUCGAAUAGGGCUCAGGAAAAAUUCAGAGAUAUCUCACAGCAUGGGUUAAGGUAAGAGGAUUUAUCGUGUAAAUAGUAAACUGAGGGUCAGGGAUAGAGGAAAAUGCACAGUCCCCCAUUCACCCAUCAUGGCACAGGGAGGCAUGAGGGCCCCGUUUUGACUGGACUCACAGGCAGGGUAGGUUGCCUUCCAGCGGAGGGAUCCCCCUCUUUGCUCUGCCUUCUUGUGGGGAGCAUGUGAGGUCGACCUCAUCAGGAAGGGACACAACUAACAGCCGGGCCCCAGGCAGAGUGGAUGAGGGGUGCCUGUGGUUCACAGGGUUUGCCUAGGGGCUCCAGCUGCUCUGAGGAUGUUGGGGACCAUGGGAAGGUACAGCCCCCUCUGCUGAGGAAAGGACCCUGCUCUCAAGGGAGGUAAGAGGGAAGCGCUUCCCGCUGCAUGACUUCGCUGGCUCAGUGUCCGGGCACCCCCGGGAGAACUUCUGGACCACUCUGCUCAUUGCACCACAGGGCUUUGCUUUGAGCAUCCUCUAUAAAAUGGCGUGAGUGUAUCUGAGAGCUGCAGGAGUCAUACUAGACGUUUUAUUAUCAUUCAUUUAUUCGUUUUGGCUACCUGGCAUCUGAACAUCCUUUUUGUAUAUGGGAAAUCAUCCACUGUGUGAAUGUCGCUAGAAGGCAGGGCACCUUCUCCCAAGAGGAAAACUGACAAGCCAGGGACUCACUCUCUCUGUCCCCUGGCAUGGGCUCGUGGGCCGUGUGACCUGGCGCAGCUCAUCAGAUGCCUCUUCCCAGGACUUGACUCUUCUGCAACUGAUACAAAUGCACAGGGAGAGUGUUUUAUUUGCGCUCGCAACAGCAGCACUGGUAGCCGUUAUUCAGUGGCUGUGGAAGCGGAGACAGCAGCGUGGCAUCCAAUGUCCUGGGGCAGUGGUGGCAGUGGCAUCCCCACCAGAGGGUCCUGCAGUUGAUUCCUACUACCCAGCCUACCUCGGUUGCCUCUUGUAUUCUAUCUUGGUUCUACGAGCCUCCCAAUAUCCUUCUUAACAAGUCCCCUUUUUGCUUAUUUUAUCAGAAGUCAGUGCCUGUUGUUUGCAACCAGGAACUCUGGCUGAUCCUGAGGCAUAAAUCUCUAACGCAUCUCUGGGCUCUGACAAGCCAAGCUACCAGGAUUCUCUAAUUGAGAUUCUUCUCCAACUGCCUCCUAACAUUUCUAUCAGGAUGGCAAACCCAACAUGGCCAAUCUGAGUUCUUCCUCUUCCCCGUGGACCACUUCCACCCCAUUCUGAGCCAAAACCCUUGAGUCAUCCCAGUUCUUCUGCCCUCUUCACCCUUCACACCCAAACAGUUACUGAACGGUGAAAGCCAUCCUUUCACCUCCACUCCCAUCCCUUGCUGGACCAGUGCCUCAGCCUCCUUUCUGACCUCCUGCCUUCAGCCUCUCCCGCUCGCUUCCAUUUCUCCAAAGACGGCCCACACCAUCUGAGGUGCCCGUGGGGUGGUCACUGUGUACAUGAGCUUUGGACUCAAACUAGAUCUGGAGUCAGCACCCACCCCAUCACUCCCUAACAGUGCGACCUUAGCCAACAUAUUGAUUACAGUGACAACUUGUCCCCAUUUUCCCAGGACUGCGUCAGUUUUAGUAUUGAAAGUUCUGCAUCCUGGGAAACCCCACUUAUAUUUAUAUUUGUAAAUUAUUAAUUAUAUAUGUUUCUAUUUAAUGUAAGCUUUGUUUUUGCAUCUGUGAGACAGGACCUGCAGUAGUGCUUAACCCACAGCAUUGUUCUGGUGAUUGUUAUAAGGCACGGAAAGUGCUUCUACAUAGCAAGGCUAAAAUAAAUGCUAUUUAUUUUGAAAUAUCUUCCACAUAGCAUCCCAUUCUUUUCCUUCACAAUACUUCUCACAAUUGGAACUCUAGCUAUUUGUGAUUAUCCAUAUACUGUGGAUGUUCUGAGUAGGCAGAUCCCGUGAAGGCAGGACCCACGUCUGGCUUUUUCACUGCUGUAUCCCAGAACCUAGAACAGAGCCUGGUGUCCAGCAGGUACCCCACAUAUUUACUGUGUGAACAAAUGAAUGGAUAAUGAGUAAAGACCAGCUUUAACCUUAGUACUCCACACCCUUUGCUGGGGUCUGGCUUUCCGUUUGAGGGAGGUUCGAGGUAUAGAUUGUUGCUUGUUGCGGUUCUUUGUUGGCAAAAGAAAGCAUCUCUGACUAACUAAAUCAGAAAGGAAUCACUGGAGUUGGAAAGAACCAGAACCAGGAUAGCUCCAAAGAUCCCCAUAGCAGGAAAUUACUGGGCAAUUGCUUCCUGGCAUCCGUGUCAGAAUGAAUCAGCUCCACCCAGGCCAGGAGUAAGAUGGGUGACUUAUUGGACCAUUGUUCAAUGGCUGCCUUUGACAGUUCUAUAGGUUGGGCACUGCUCAAUUCCCAUGAGCAUCACUCAGCAGUCCAAAUGGAUGGAUCCGCUGGAGUUGUACAGUGCACAGCCUCUGCGAGUGUAUAUGGCAGACCUUAAUGGGAGUGAGAUAGUUCCCCAAAGGAAAAUUGAAGUGCUUGUUAUCAGAAAAAGGUGGUGUGGAUGUCAGGAGGACAAAAAAAAACCCCAAAAAACAAACAAAAAAAAACCAACAGAUGUCCACUUAGGUUAAUAGCAGCGGGAGACUUCAGUUGGGCGACAAAGCUCAUCCUGGCAGUUGACAGCUGCAGGCCCGUGCUAAUAUUGUCACCUAGUGGUCACAGUGGAAACUGCAUUUUUCACUAUCUUCCUCUUCCCCAGCCUCCGUGCCUCCAUCCCACUUUCUCUCCUCUCUUCUCCCCUCUCCUCCCCUCCCCUAGACUGUCCUGCCUUAUUCAUCAUCUCUGGGAACUGGUCGUCCCUGACCUCUGUGCUGGCCAGGAUUGAGCCCCAGAGCUGGGGACCUGGGAAGCUGUAGAACUCAGACCCCAUCCCCCUCUCUGUUUCUUUCCCUGUUUUCUUCCUCAUUCUUGCAUUAUUUUCUCCUUUCUUUUUUAAACCUUUUAUUCAACAAAUGUUUAUUGGAGCAUCUCCUGUGUGCUGGAGUCAGCCUGAGAUUCACUGACUCUGCCGUAGAUUUAGUGCACGGCGUUCUCCUCUUCUGAGACCCACUUAUGUCGUAUUACCCAAGUAACUCUGAAGACAGAUGCCCAUACACACAUCAAAGUAAAUAUGAGGUCAUGAUUAAUUUCAUCCCAAUAGAGCUAUCAGGAAAAUCAUUGGAUGGUGUCAUGUCCCCCUCAAAGAUGUUGAACUUUUAAUCCCCGGUACCUGUCGAUGUGACCUUAUUUGGAUCGCAGAUGAUUCAGUUAAGAUGAGGUCAUUUGGGUGGACCUUAAUCUAAUAUGACUGUGUCC